UGGAGUAGGCUCACAGAGCAGAAAUUGUGUGAGGAAACUGCGCUUACUUCUUGGUCCUGGACUGGUUGAAACAGAUGCAGAAAGAUUUUUUUCCAUUCUGGAGAAGAAAGACUCCAUGAAUCAUGCUUCAAUCACAUCCAUUGAAAAGAAAGAUAUUAAGAGGCCACGUCAAGAAAUUCACAGGUGGCAGUAAAGAAACAUCUCUCCAAGAAUCAGCUUCAGUCCUCUCUAGCUAUGUAGUUGUGACCAAGUGGCUUAAUCCAUGUGAGAGAGAGGCAAUGGAGUGACUUGCUCUGCUCCAGACCGCUGAAGAGCAGUUAAAGCAAAAUGAAAAUCUAGUGUUCGGCCAUCUCUGGUGGCCC